GGGUUGUGAGGUUAAGCGACUAAGCGUACACGGUGGAUGCCCUGGCAGUCAGAGGCGAUGAAGGACGUGCUAAUCUGCGAUAAGCGUCGGUAAGGUGAUAUGAACCGUUAUAACCGGCGAUUUCCGAAUGGGGAAACCCAGUGUGUUUCGACACACUAUCAUUAACUGAAUCCAUAGGUUAAUGAGGCGAACCGGGGGAACUGAAACAUCUAAGUACCCCGAGGAAAAGAAAUCAACCGAGAUUCCCCCAGUAGCGGCGAGCGAACGGGGAGCAGCCCAGAGCCUGAAUCAGUGUGUGUGUUAGUGGAAGCGUCUGGAAAGGCGCGCGAUACAGGGUGACAGCCCCGUACACAAAAAUGCACAUGCUGUGAGCUCGAUGAGUAGGGCGGGACACGUGGUAUCCUGUCUGAAUAUGGGGGGACCAUCCUCCAAGGCUAAAUACUCCUGACUGACCGAUAGUGAACCAGUACCGUGAGGGAAAGGCGAAAAGAACCCGGCGAGGGGAGUGAAAAAGAACCUGAAACCGUGUACGUACAAGCAGUGGGAGCACGCUUAGGCGUGUGACUGCGUACCUUUUGUAUAAUGGGUCAGCGACUUAUAUUCUGUAGCAAGGUUAACCGAAUAGGGGAGCCGAAGGGAAACCGAGUCUUAACUGGGCGUUAAGUUGCAGGGUAUAGACCCGAAACCCGGUGAUCUAGCCAUGGGCAGGUUGAAGGUUGGGUAACACUAACUGGAGGACCGAACCGACUAAUGUUGAAAAAUUAGCGGAUGACUUGUGGCUGGGGGUGAAAGGCCAAUCAAACCGGGAGAUAGCUGGUUCUCCCCGAAAGCUAUUUAGGUAGCGCCUCGUGAAUUCAUCUCCGGGGGUAGAGCACUGUUUCGGCAAGGGGGUCAUCCCGACUUACCAACCCGAUGCAAACUGCGAAUACCGGAGAAUGUUAUCACGGGAGACACACGGCGGGUGCUAACGUCCGUCGUGAAGAGGGAAACAACCCAGACCGCCAGCUAAGGUCCCAAAGUCAUGGUUAAGUGGGAAACGAUGUGGGAAGGCCCAGACAGCCAGGAUGUUGGCUUAGAAGCAGCCAUCAUUUAAAGAAAGCGUAAUAGCUCACUGGUCGAGUCGGCCUGCGCGGAAGAUGUAACGGGGCUAAACCAUGCACCGAAGCUGCGGCAGCGACACUAUGUGUUGUUGGGUAGGGGAGCGUUCUGUAAGCCUGUGAAGGUGUGCUGUGAGGCAUGCUGGAGGUAUCAGAAGUGCGAAUGCUGACAUAAGUAACGAUAAAGCGGGUGAAAAGCCCGCUCGCCGGAAGACCAAGGGUUCCUGUCCAACGUUAAUCGGGGCAGGGUGAGUCGACCCCUAAGGCGAGGCCGAAAGGCGUAGUCGAUGGGAAACAGGUUAAUAUUCCUGUACUUGGUGUUACUGCGAAGGGGGGACGGAGAAGGCUAUGUUGGCCGGGCGACGGUUGUCCCGGUUUAAGCGUGUAGGCUGGUUUUCCAGGCAAAUCCGGAAAAUCAAGGCUGAGGCGUGAUGACGAGGCACUACGGUGCUGAAGCAACAAAUGCCCUGCUUCCAGGAAAAGCCUCUAAGCAUCAGGUAACAUCAAAUCGUACCCCAAACCGACACAGGUGGUCAGGUAGAGAAUACCAAGGCGCUUGAGAGAACUCGGGUGAAGGAACUAGGCAAAAUGGUGCCGUAACUUCGGGAGAAGGCACGCUGAUAUGUAGGUGAAGUCCCUCGCGGAUGGAGCUGAAAUCAGUCGAAGAUACCAGCUGGCUGCAACUGUUUAUUAAAAACACAGCACUGUGCAAACACGAAAGUGGACGUAUACGGUGUGACGCCUGCCCGGUGCCGGAAGGUUAAUUGAUGGGGUUAGCCGCAAGGCGAAGCUCUUGAUCGAAGCCCCGGUAAACGGCGGCCGUAACUAUAACGGUCCUAAGGUAGCGAAAUUCCUUGUCGGGUAAGUUCCGACCUGCACGAAUGGCGUAAUGAUGGCCAGGCUGUCUCCACCCGAGACUCAGUGAAAUUGAACUCGCUGUGAAGAUGCAGUGUACCCGCGGCAAGACGGAAAGACCCCGUGAACCUUUACUAUAGCUUGACACUGAACAUUGAGCCUUGAUGUGUAGGAUAGGUGGGAGGCUUAGAAGUGUGGACGCCAGUCUGCAUGGAGCCGACCUUGAAAUACCACCCUUUAAUGUUUGAUGUUCUAACGUUGACCCGUAAUCCGGGUUGCGGACAGUGUCUGGUGGGUAGUUUGACUGGGGCGGUCUCCUCCUAAAGAGUAACGGAGGAGCACGAAGGUUGGCUAAUCCUGGUCGGACAUCAGGAGGUUAGUGCAAUGGCAUAAGCCAGCUUGACUGCGAGCGUGACGGCGCGAGCAGGUGCGAAAGCAGGUCAUAGUGAUCCGGUGGUUCUGAAUGGAAGGGCCAUCGCUCAACGGAUAAAAGGUACUCCGGGGAUAACAGGCUGAUACCGCCCAAGAGUUCAUAUCGACGGCGGUGUUUGGCACCUCGAUGUCGGCUCAUCACAUCCUGGGGCUGAAGUAGGUCCCAAGGGUAUGGCUGUUCGCCAUUUAAAGUGGUACGCGAGCUGGGUUUAGAACGUCGUGAGACAGUUCGGUCCCUAUCUGCCGUGGGCGCUGGAGAACUGAGGGGGGCUGCUCCUAGUACGAGAGGACCGGAGUGGACGCAUCACUGGUGUUCGGGUUGUCAUGCCAAUGGCACUGCCCGGUAGCUAAAUGCGGAAGAGAUAAGUGCUGAAAGCAUCUAAGCACGAAACUUGCCCCGAGAUGAGUUCUCCCUGACUCCUUGAGAGUCCUGAAGGAACGUUGAAGACGACGACGUUGAUAGGCCGGGUGUGUAAGCGCAGCGAUGCGUUGAGCUAACCGGUACUAAUGAACCGUGAGGCUUAACCUUACAACGCCGAAGGUGUUU
rnacentral:rRNA from 1 species